AAGAACACUGGAAAGAAAAUGCUACAAAGAAAAUGACACUGAAAAAAGCAGAUAGGUGUGGAAAAGCAGGAAUGCCAACAGAAUGCAUGCUUCUAAUGGAAAUCGCUAUGCAUUGGGCAUGACAAGAACAGCAGAAUCCGGACUCCACAGAAUGGCUGCCUUUUCCAUAGAUUGUGGCAAUGUGCAAAAAAGUGUCUAAUACUGGAAGAGUUCCAUAAAAAUGCAGGAGUUUGUCUUCUCGAUACAGUAGAUGGGCUCAAAAAAGAUGAAAGCACAGAGAACUCAGAUACACACCGCAGACUCCAGAGGUACCCUACUGUGAUCAUUUGAAAGCAAGAAACCCAAACUUUCAAAUCCAUAAAAACAAUGGGAAUGUGACACACAAACAGCUAAACAACUCCGGGGGGGGGGCGCAUGAGCAACCAAUACAAAGAGAAAGUGGGACCCAAGGGAGUUAACUCUUUGGGAACAGGUUCUUUGGAACACAAGCUGGCAAAAAAUAUAAAUAAAUAAAACAAGC